GGGGAAUAUUGCGCAAUGGGGGAAACCCUGACGCAGCAACGCCGCGUGAAGGAAGAAGGUUUUCGGAUCGUAAACUUCUUUGAUUAGGGAAGAAUAAUGACAGUACCUAAAAAACAAGCCACGGCUAACUAUGUGCCAGCAGCCGCGGUAAUACGUAGGUGGCGAGCGUUGUCCGGAAUUACUGGGUGUAAAGGGCGUGUAGGCGGGACUGCAAGUCAGAUGUGAAAUACCGGGGCUCAACCCCGGGGCUGCAUUUGAAACUGUAGUUCUUGAGUACAGGAGAGGGAAGUGGAAUUCCUAGUGUAGCGGUGAAAUGCGUAGAUAUUAGGAGGAACACCAGUGGCGAAGGCGACUUCCUGGACUGUAACUGACGCUGAGGCGCGAAAGCGUGGGUAGCAAAC
rnacentral:rRNA from 1 species